rnacentral:rRNA from 1 species
AACGAACGCUGGCGGCAGGCUUAACACAUGCAAGUCGAGCGCCCCGCAAGGGGAGCGGCAGACGGGUGAGUAACGCGUGGGAAUCUACCCAACCCUGCGGAAUAGCUCCGGGAAACUGGAAUUAAUACCGCAUACGCCCUACGGGGAAAGAUUUAUCGGGGAUGGAUGAGCCCGCGUUGGAUUAGCUAGUUGGUGGGGUA